rnacentral:rRNA from 1 species
AGUGAACGCUGGCGGUAGGCCUAACACAUGCAAGUCGAACGGCAGCACAGUAAGAGCUUGCUCUUACGGGUGGCGAGUGGCGGACGGGUGAGGAAUACAUCGGAAUCUACUUUUUCGUGGGGGAUAACGUAGGGAAACUUACGCUAAUACCGCAUACGACCUACGGGUGAAAGCAGGGGAUCUUCGGACCUUGCGCGAUUGAAUGAGCCGCUGUCGGAUUAGCUAGUUGGCGGGGUAAAGGCCCACCAAGGCGACGAUCCGUAGCUGGUCUGAGAGGAUGAUCAGACACACUGGAACUGAGACACGGUCCAGACUCCUACGGGAGGCAGCAGUGGGGAAUAUUGGACAAUGGGCGCAAGCCUGAUCCAGCCAUACCGCGUGAGUGAAGAAGGCCUUCGGGUUGUAAAGCCCUUUUGUUGGGAAAGAAAAGCAGCAGGUUAAUACCCCGCUGUUCUGACGGUACCCAAAGAAUAAGCACCGGCUAACUUCGUG